GCCUUCGUGGUGUAGUGGUCGAGCACAUUCGGCGAGGAACCCAGAGGUCCGUGGUUCGAUUCCCGGCAAAGGUG
rnacentral:tRNA from 1 species